UAGGGAAUCUUCCACAAUGGACGCAAGUCUGAUGGAGCAACGCCGCGUGAGUGAAGAAGGUUUUCGGAUCGUAAAGCUCUGUUGUUGGUGAAGAAGGAUAGAGGCAGUAACUGGUCUUUAUUUGACGGUAAUCAACCAGAAAGUCACGGCUAACUACGUGCCAGCAGCCGCGGUAAUACGUAGGUGGCAAGCGUUGUCCGGAUUUAUUGGGCGUAAAGCGAGCGCAGGCGGAGUGAUAAGUCUGAUGUGAAAGCCCACGGCUCAACCGUGGAACUGCAUCGGAAAUUGUCAUUCUUGAGUGCAGAAGAGGAGAGUGGAAUUCCAUGUGUAGCGGUGGAAUGCGUAGAUAUAUGGAAGAACACCAGUGGCGAAGGCGGCUCUCUGGUCUGCAACUGACGCUGAGGCUCGAAAGCAUGGGUAGCGAACAGG
rnacentral:rRNA from 1 species